rnacentral:rRNA from 1 species
UACGGAGGGUGCAAGCGUUGUCCGGAAUCACUGGGCGUAAAGGGCGCGUAGGCGGCUCGGUAAGUAGGGGGUGAAAUCCUGCGGCUUAACCGCAGGGCUGCCUUCUAAACUGUCGAGCUUGAGCACGGUAGAGGCAGAUGGAAUUCCCGGUGUAGCGGUGGAAUGCGUAGAGAUCGGGAAGAACAUCAGUGGCGAAGGCGGUCUGCUGGGCCGUUGCUGACGCUGAGGCGCGACAGCGUGGGGAGCAA